rnacentral:rRNA from 1 species
ACGGGAGGCAGCAGUGAGGAAUAUUGGUCAAUGGGCGGAAGCCUGAACCAGCCAAGUCGCGUGAGGGAAGACGGCCCUACGGGUUGUAAACCUCUUCUGCGCGGGGGUAAAGUCGGGGACGGGUCCCCGAUUGCAAGUACCGCGCGAAAAAGGAUCGGCUAACUCCGUGCCAGCAGCCGCGGUAAUACGGAGGAUCCGAGUGUUAUCCGGAUUUAUUGGGUUUAAAGGGUGCGCAGGCGGCACGUUAAGUCAGCGGUGAAAUGCAGGGGCUCAACCCCGGCACUGCCGUUGAAACUGGCGAGCUCGAGUACGGAUGAAGUCGGCGGAAUGUGAUGUGUAGCGGUGAAAUGCUUAGAUAUGUCACAGAACACCGAUUGCGAAGGCAGCUGACUAAUCCGCAACUGACGCUCAGGCACGAAAGCGUGGGGAUCGAACAGGAUUAGAUACCCUGGUA